AAUAUAUGCACAUUCCUAUGGCCAUGAACUCUGCCUUAACCAAAUAGAGAUCCAAGUGCAUCUGUGGUGUUACUGAAGUUCAGGAUCGUAUGAAUGCGUACGGACUCCUUUCUUCUCUUUUU